GCCCGGAUGGCGGAAUAGGUAGACGCGCUGGUCUCAAAAACCUGUGGCCGCAAGGCCGUGCCGGUUCGAUUCCGGCUCCGGGUA
rnacentral:tRNA from 1 species